CCAACCCCAGCCCUGGUUCUCUUGGAGGUGUCCUACCCUGGACAGAAGGCUGGAGCUCCCCCAGCCCACAGCCAUCACCUGCUACUGGCUCUCCCACCCUUCCCUGGCCGCCUUCCCUCCUGUCAUCCCCCAUUCCCACACCUCCCCAUGCCUUGGUGUCAGAAGUCACCUACCUGCUGUGCCGUUCAGCAGGUCUGUGAAAAAACCUGUAUUACUUCCUUUUCUGUUGCUGUGAGAAAGCACCAAGUCCAGAAGCAACUUGUGGAAGAAAGUUUAUUUUGGCUUAUGUUCCAGAGGAUCGAGGUGUGAGUUCUCAGCUGUUCCUGCCACCAUGCCAUCAUGGACUCUACCCCUCUGAAACAGUAAACCCAAAUUAUAUACUUUUGUUUAUAAGUUGCCUUGGUCAUGGUGUCUUAUGAUAGUAAUGGAGAAGUAACUAAGACAUUGGUCAAACCUGGGAGGGGUUAACAAGAAAGGAAAAGAGCCUUAACUUCAACUAAGCGUGCGCACACACGCACACGCGCGCGCGUGUGCGCGCGCACACACACACACACACACACACACCAGCAAACACCAAACAGCAAGACUCUUAGAGUGAAUCACAAUCAACUGUCAGUUCUUGCCUUAAGAACCCUUCUUUGCAUAAGCAAUUCUGGAGUCUGAGGAAAGGAACCCCCACCCCACCCCCAGACAGAGUUUCUCUAUACAAUCCUGGCUGUCUUGGAACUCACUCUGUAGAUCAGGCUGGCCUUGAACUCAGAGAUCCUCCUGCCUCUGAGCCACCCAACCCAUGACAAUCUGUUUCUUGAUUGGUGCCUUUAGACUACCAGCAUUCAAAGUGAUUACUGAUGUAGUUUAAGUGCAUAGAAUACAUUUUCCUUGCUAUUGCCCGCCCCUUUCCUAGUUUUGAAGUGGUCUCCAUAAAGUUUAUUUACUUAUAAUCUAAGCCCCAUUUUUUUUUUUAAAUCUCAGUUCACUUUUAAAUUCUAUGUUGACUGACAGGUACGUACAUGUAAUUUCUGAUGACACAGUCCCAAUUCCUCCUUCCUACUCUUUGUACAAUUGCUGUCGCUCCUUUAGCUUAUCCACAUGCAUACACAUAUAAGCACAAAAUAUGCUGUUGCUAUUAUUAUUUUUAGUAAACUACCAUCCUCUUAGAUCAAUUACAAUAAAAAAGGUUUUAUUUUACCUUUUUUUCUUUCUCUAAUGCUCUGACCUAUACUUUUCUUUUCGACUUACUUAUUUUAUUGUUAUGUACAUGAUGCCUGGUGCACAUAGAGGAAAGAAGAGUGUAGCUGGAAGAUUUCCUGUGUCCCAGCCAGCCGGCGGUUGGAAAAAAUCUCUCCCACUUGCGUCCCCCAAGUAAACACACAGAAGCUUAUAUUAAUUAAAACUGUUUGGCCAUUAGCUCAGGCUAAUGACUGACUAGCUCUUAUAUUUAAACUCAGCCAUUUCUGUUAAUCUAUAUGUUGCCACGUGUUCCGUGGCUUUAAUCUGUAUGCCAUUACAUGCUGCUCCUUGUGCGACUAGCUAGCAUCUCUCCCCGCCUUCUUCAUGUCUCUCUGCAUUUCCCACCUGCCUCUAAGCUGCAUUGCCAUAGGCCAAACAGCUUUAUUUAUCAAUCAAUCAGAGCAACACAUAUUCACAGUAUACAGAAAGACUUUCCUCCAUCAGAAGAGGAUGUCAGAUCCCCUGGAACCAGAGCUAGGAAUGGUUGUGAGACACCAUAUGGGUGUUGGGAACUCAACCAGUCCUGUGCAGGAACAACAACUAGUCUUAACUGCUGAGUUAUCUCCCCAGCCCAGAGACUUUGGACUUUUAAAGAGAUAGCAUUUUUUAAAGACCGUGGGUCUUUUCAAAGCUGUACUUGGGGAUAAACAAGAAAGGAAAGUUAAUGGUUUAUAGUGGUACAUUUGUGUGUCAAGUUGACAUGAGUCAGUUAUCCUGGUUAGUUUUUGUCAACUUGAUACAAACUAAAGACACCUGAGGAGAGGGAACCUCAACUGAGGUAUUUCUCCAACUAGACUGGGCCACAGGCAUGUGUGUCAGACAUUUUAUUAGUUAAUGAUUGAUACCUGAGGACCCAGCCCACCAUGGGUAGAGCCAUACCUGGGCAGAUGGUCUUGGGUUGCAUAGGAAAGCAAGCUGACAAGCCAUAGGAAGAAAGCCAGUAAAAUUUCCUCCAUGGUCCCACGUCUGCUCAUGACCGUGUCCCCACCCUGGCUGCCCUCAGUGAUGGACUGUAACAUGGAAGUGUAAGCCAAAUAAACCUUUUCCUUCCCAA